AUUGAACGCUGGCGGCAUGCCUUACACAUGCAAGUCGAACGGCAGCACGGGAGCAAUCCUGGUGGCGAGUGGCGAACGGGUGAGUAAUAUAUCGGAACGUGCCCAGUCGUGGGGGAUAACGUAGCGAAAGCUACGCUAAUACCGCAUACGAUCUACGGAUGAAGGCGGGGGAUCGCAAGACCUCGCGCGAUUGGAGCGGCCGAUAUCAGAUUAGGUAGUUGGUGAGGUAAAGGCUCACCAAGCCGACGAUCUGUAGCUGGUCUGAGAGGACGACCAGCCACACUGGGACUGAGACACGGCCCAGACUCCUACGGGAGGCAGCAGUGGGGAAUUUUGGACAAUGGGCGCAAGCCUGAUCCAGCAAUGCCGCGUGCAGGAUGAAGGCCU
rnacentral:rRNA from 1 species